rnacentral:rRNA from 1 species
GACGAACCGUCCAAACGUUAUUCGGAAUUACUGGGCUUAAAGGGUGCGUAGGCGGUGCUACAAGUCGGGUGUGAAAUCCCUCAGCUUAACUGAGGAACUGCGCCCGAAACUGUAGUGCUGGAGUGAGGCAGGGGUGAGCGGAACUGAUGGUGGAGCGGUGAAAUGUGUUGAUAUCAUCAGGAACCCCGGUGGCGAAGGCGGCUCACUGGGCCUUUACUGACGCUGAGGCACGAAAGCUAGGGGAGCGAACGGG